GUUGGAAAACCAGUUCUCAUAUGAUCACCAAAGUUAAGCAACAUCAAGCCUGGUCAGUACCUAGAUAGGUGACUGCUUGGGAACAGCAAGUGAUGUAAG